rnacentral:rRNA from 1 species
UACGUAGGUCGCAAGCGUUGUCCGGAUUUACUGGGCGUAAAGAGCGCGCAGGCGGCUGGUCAAGUCCGAUGUGAAAGCUCCCGGCUUAACUGGGAAACGGCAUCGGAAACUGAUCGGCUUGAAGGUGGGAGAGAGUAGUGGAAUUCCCGGUGUAGUGGUGAAAUGCGUAGAUAUCGGGAGGAACACCAGUGGCGAAGGCGACUUCCUGGCCUGUUCUUGACGCUGAGGCGCGAAAGCUAGGGGAGCAAACGGG